rnacentral:rRNA from 1 species
AGAGCGAACGCUGGCGGCAGGCUUAACACAUGCAAGUCGAGCGGGCGUAGCAAUACGUCAGCGGCAGACGGGUGAGUAACGCGUGGGAACGUACCUUUUGGUUCGGAACAACCCAGGGAAACUUGGGCUAAUACCGGAUAAGCCCUUACGGGGAAAGAUUUAUCGCCGAAAGAUCGGCCCGCGUCUGAUUAGCUAGUUGGUGAGGUAAUGGCUCACCAAGGCGACGAUCAGUAGCUGGUCUGAGAGGAUGAUCAGCCACAUUGGGACUGAGACACGGCCCAAACUCCUACGGGAGGCAGCAGUGGGGAAUAUUGGACAAUGGGCGCAAGCCUGAUCCAGCCAUGCCGCGUGAGUGAUGAAGGCCCUAGGGUUGUAAAGCUCGUUUUGUGCGGGAAGAUAAUGACGGUACCGCAAGAAUAAGCCCCGGCUAACUUCGCGCCAGCAGCCGC